GUAACUGGGAGUGGGGAGGAGUAAGGAAGGGGCAGAGGUGAGCUGCAGGGAGGGCUCAGAGGGGCCUAAUGCUGUAAAACUGCAUCAACAUGGUGGAGGCAGAACCGGACUCUGUGUUUCCCCCAGAGUGAGUAUAACUAAUGAGUUAUGGAAUUGGGAGGGGCCACAUUCUCUUUCUUCCUUCAGGUGCCCCAUGAACUUCUUGAUCCAUGUCACCCUGCCCAGUGCCUAGUGCCUGCUGGGAAGCCCAUCCCACAGACCCGUUAGCCCGGAUCCCCAGCCCUGGUUACCAGUUGGUGUCUGGCCAAGGUGUGCCUCCACCAAGGCCCCCACAAGGUGCUCUGUCUUCCUUUCUGGGGUGACUCUCUGUGGAGUACAUGAUGUGGAAUAAACUAGGUGAGAUAUAUUUGGUUCAUUGUUGAGACUUAAAGCAAGGAAGGAUCUUUUGAAAUGUGAAGACAUCAUCCACGAACUUCCACUGACAUCCAUGAUUUAUAACUGGAAUAUAAUAAGAUUUAUAAGGUGAUUUUUAAAGCCUAAGGGAAAACUGGAUUUUCUCAACGUGUACCUUUAAUAAAUAAAAUACAAUUUUCAAAAACCAGAGUAUUCCCAGAAGGUCUUUUCUCUGCACCAAAUAAUCCUCAAGGACACAAGAAACUCACAUGGAUACUGCUUAGCUGACAGUCCUAUUGUCCAGCAACUCAUCCAAGACUAAGUCCAAGGGCUUCAAGACUUCAAUUCCCAACCCAUCACCUUCCAGGCUUGAACCCUCAAAGUGUACUUGUAGCCUCUCUGGGUAACAAUUUGCCAAUAUGUAAAAUGAGAACGGAAAUCAUCCUCCUGCUCUUCACGCCCAAGACCCAUGAGGAUGCCAGAGUAAAGGAAUC
rnacentral:lncRNA from 1 species